UCUUCGAGUCAACACACUUCCAAGUACCAACACCGAACUUUGGUUCAAACUUUGGACAACUACCCCCACGCGUAACGGCUCAACCUCUUGGGCAUCCACGGAAUGUGCCAACUGGGUCGCAACAGUCAACUCACUCCCCUCCGACCCCAGCGCUGGGUCAGCCAUUGGGCUGGGGUCACGCCAAUCAAGGCUGCCUAGCGAAUGAACGGGGGGCGCCAGACCGGAAACCGGAUAUGAGUGGGAGGUCCAAUAGGGGGCGCCGCGUUGGAACGCCCUAAGAGGUUGUGCCGCUGGGGUGGUUUGGAGCGGUUGGUGGGCGGGCGUAUGGCGGUCAGGCCUGGGCCGCCACGAGGCCGGCGGGCACUGUGGGGUCACUUUCUGACGCCCCAGGUCACCGAAGCUGAAAGGGGAGGUGGGAUCUCUCAGGGAGCAGCCCUCGUUCUCACUGAUGGCGGUGGGUAAACCCCUAAGAGGGAUCCGCUGCCAGGGCGAGGUGAGGAGGAGGCGAAAGGGCCUGCAGGUAGAGGGCCAAGACCCUGAGGAGAGAGGGGGCUCCCUGCCCCGAUGCAGAGGAUCAGCCCCAGAUGGAUAAGGAGUUGAGGUCGCGGGGAUGCUGAGCCCUGCCGAAGUGGAAGUGACUGGCUACCAGGAUCUGAAAACCCCAAAUCUCUUGGAUGAGUGGGGAUCAGAGCUGAAGCUUCACCACAAAUCAGAAGUGGGACUUGAGAGACUGGCAGAAGGGUAGCCAGAUGUUGGAAGAGGUGGCUAACCUGAAAGGCAGCUGGGGAGCCUUGCCACAGGGGCCCAAGAAACCAGUAUGGUAAGAGCUGGGGGUGAUCAGCUGGGGGGCUAACUGGGGGCCACUCUGAUUGGUGGGACUGUCGGGCGAGCCCAUUCAGGGCUGGUGAUCUUGUUGGCCAAGACAGAAACGUGGCCUUGACCUGGAUGGAGGUGGCCAGAGGGCCCAGUUUUUUUUUUGUUUUUUUUUUAGUUCUACCAGUUUAUUGCUACCAGCCCAUCUCCCUCCACCCUUGUGCACACAUGCUCAGUCAUGUAAUCCCAUGGACUUCAGCCCGCCUGACUCCUCUGUCCAUGGAUUUUUCCAGGCAAGAAUACUGGAGUGGGUUGCCAUUUCCUUCUCCAAGGGGGCCCAGUUUUUAAGAUCUGCCAUUAUGAUUUAUAAUCGCAAAGUAUUACCUUAGGCAUCGAUUUCCAAUUCUGGAUGGAUUUCUAUCAGGGAAGAGGUAAAUAUUUUCUAGAAAUGAGCACGAAGUGGGAAGGAACAUUAGUUAAUGGGUUCAUGUGACCCAGAAGAGGAAGGCAGAGACUAGGCAGGGUGCCUGAAGAAAGACUGAGCUGGGGUGAAGCUGCAGGCUGGGGUUUGGUGCCCACCCAGCAGGGCUUGUCCUAGGGUCUGCAGUGAAAUGGUACUCUGAGAGGAGAAAAGGCUGGGCUGUCAGAAGCCAGGUGGAGGUUUCUUGAAAAUUGUGUAUCCUCAACUACUUAAAAAGAACAGGGUUUCUACACUUCAUGCAUUGAGAAAGGAUGGGAAAUACUACGCAUGUUUCAGUUAAACAUUGCACUUCUAAGGAAGUCAGUGUGUUCAGACCUGACAGGCCAGGUGCCACAGGGAGUGAUCAGCUGGCUUUUUGUAAAGAAAUAACCCCAAAUGGAAAGACAGUAUUUUUUCACUGUUGACUCUAAACAGCACCAGUGUUACCUGCAGGGACGUGGCCCCCUUCCUUGGCGGCCCCACAUGACUCCCUGCCAACCCCCCCACCCCCCGCCCCAACUCCGUCUUCUGCUCUAUUGACGCCUCCAUGGCAGCACACGUCAUAAUCAGUGAACGACUGUCAGUGUACUUACGUCUGGAGGUUCUUACUCAUUGCUAAAGGCACAUGGCCUAUCCAGACUGUAAGUAGCUGCCUAUCAGCUUUCUGUUUUAGUUCAUCCCUGUAUCCAAUAAAGAGAAAGCAAAGUGGAAGAGGGUCCCUUGAGAGGGAGGGGAGGUAGGCAAAAGAGAAGAGAGCACAAACUAGGACAAAAAACGAUCGCUUUUCCCCUGGUGGUUGCAUUUCCUCCCGGAAGGUGGGGGGAUGGUUGGCAGGGGGGCAGUUUGCAGAGCCUUCUCUGCAGCCCCCAUGUGUCAUUAGCUGGCAGUGGGUUACUGUCAGGUGAGGAAAAGGAGAAUCUUUUCACCAGUUGUGAGGAAAAGGCAAAAGCAGAAAUGAGAGGACAAAGGGAAGAGAAUUCAGGCGACGAUUACGUUUCUCAGCCUCCCAGUGACAAAUGUUUUCUGAGUGCUGAGUGAGUAGCAAUAAGACUUUGAUGCUGUUCAAUUAAUUACUGUUCAAUUAGGACUCACUGCGCCCAUCCUUUUACCUCCCAGCAUCUCCUCUGCCAGCCUCAGCCGGUGGAGGCAGCAGCAGCCUACUGCUGUCUGCAGAAGGGUCUGCGUGACCAGGCUAUUUCAGCAAAUGCCAAGUGCAGGGAAAAUGCCUCCAAUGGAUGAGGCUUAGGAGCAGGCACAGAGCUGACAUUACAGACAGUGGCAGCCAUAGAUGUGAAAAGACUUGAUCUCAGAUUAAAAAGCCCCAGGGGCCAAGGGUUCCCACCAAGAAUCCAGACCUCUUCGUUCAGCUAGUCCCUUCGUUCAGCUCACUAGGUGUCCUUGGUGGCCCUCAUCUUGGAAUGGCCACCCCAUUCUGCAGCCAGACACGAGGCUGGCACCUGACCACCUUGCACUUGUAGGGUGGGUCCAGACAUUCUCUACAGCCACCUGGACAGAGCUGUGGAUUCCUCCUCUAGGCUGGCUGAUGGUGCAGCUGAGAAUUCCAGGGGAGGAAGUGGCUAUUCCAGAUUAGAGGAACACCACCACCCUGGGAAGAGGACUAAGAGGGGGCAAAAGUUGGGGGCAGAGAUGGUGGGAGGAAAUCCCAGAAGAGAAAUUUGGCUUUAGUGGAAGCUCUAUUUGAAAUUUCGGUAAUUCUUGGUGGAAAUUCCAGGCCCCCAGGGGCUUCUUGGCUGCAUGACUUAUUCCGCUUGACUUUGUAAGGGGAAUGGUAUAUUUCACCUUUGUGCACAAUCUCAAUUACCCAGAGCAAAGUCUCCUAAUGAAAUCUAAUUGAGACAGCAACAUAAGCCAGGGCACUCAGAAGCCGGCUCUUGCCUGGGGGAGGAAAAAUUUGUCUUCUUCAGCGUGGGGGUGGGUGGGGGCAGUCUUGGACUCUGUGAUCCUCAUACCCCUCAAGUUUGAGAUUUGGGGACUCUCCCUGAACCAGAAUCUAGGACUUAGGAUUUAAACCAUAUAAAGCAAGGUUUCCUAGGUUGUAAAUCUUCCCAUUUGAUUGAAGCAAUUGAGGUAUAUAUAUAUGACAGCUCGACUGCACCUAUGAAAUUGAAAUUUCUGGGCCAGGCCUGUAAGAGACUCUCAGGGGGACAGUGACUGUAGGGUGACUAAUCCACUGUCACCCUCAUCUGUGAAAAAUGCUCUUCCUGAUACUAAACUGAUGUUGAAGACUGCCAUGGAGGCUCCUCUAAACCUUCUCCUCCCCAAAUCUCUUGCUUCAGCCUGUUCUUUCCAGCCCUAACACAGGUUUUGUGACCCCCCAUCUCCAAACCUUAGCCUCCUGUCUUCUCAGGUGUCUCAUCUCCCUCCGUCUUUCCUUUUUCCUGUGAUUUCCCCCACACUUUCCUUUUGUAGUCCUCGAAUCCCCCACUGAAUUACAGCACUGCAUGCCCUGGAAUGGGGAGGUGGGGGUGCCGCAGUGCCAGCUCCUCUCAGAUGUCCUGCCUUUACUGGCUGAGUGUUGUCAACAGGUGACAGUGGCCCCGCACUGCACACUCUUGGCCUUGGGAGAACUAAGUCACUAGGCUGCUUACUCGGGCUUCUCUGCCAUGUGAAUUCACUAGCACCAGUAUCGGGGAUCUUGGGGGAAAAAACACAAGAUUUAAAGAAAACAAACAUCAGUAAAAUUCAUCUUAUAUAUAGCCUUGUAAUAUGUAGCCCCCCAAAGGUUAAAAUACAGAACAAAAAUGGGAUGUUAAAUCACUUAACUUGACAUACAUUAGUUUUUCUUAAACACUUAAAAAAAAAAAAAUCUCAUGCAUUUGCAAGAGAGGUAAGAUUGGUUUGGGGGGGAGUGCAAAAAAACCUUAGCUAUUCCGAGAGCCCACAGUAGAGAGGCAGAUACACGGUGUGUCUCUGAAUCUGUGGUAUUCACAUUUCAUGAGUCAGGACUAAUUCAGAAAGAAAUAUCUGAAAAAGCUCCUGGGAGGAAGCGAUAAUGAAGGGGGGAAAAGGUUGAAAGAAAACUGGUUUAUCCUAACUAGCUGCAGCCUCUGAGCCAGUUUUUCGGGUCAGUCCUCAUCAGGGCACUUGUAAGUGUUACUAGAACAUAUACUCAGCACUUGAGGUCAGUUUGACGGUGGGAGCAUUUGUCUGCUCUCUCCCCAAACGGCGGGCAUCUCCAGGCUGCCUGCCCCCACCCUGAAGAGCCUAUCUUCUGACCCUGUGAUGAAGGAGGGCAGAUGAGAAAACAGCACACCUAAAACAAACAGUAACUCUUAAGUGUAACAGCUGCUCUUCAGAAGGCCGUUCACCCCCCAUCCUUGUUAGUAAGAGGUUGUGGUGGGGUUAGGAAUUCCCUAACCUGUCUGCCUCAGUUCUCUAAAUCCUGUGUAUGAAUUUUUUUUUUGACUUGCUUCUACACCAUUUUUGCCCCCAAUGCAAAACCAGAUUUGAGAAAAUCAAAUUAGACAAACACAAAACAGAAAGAUUUCUUCACAACUGGUGUUUUUAUUUUAUCAACCUUUCUUUCUUUUUUUUUUUUUUGGCGGGGGAGGCUCUUUUAACAUUAAAAUCAUUGAUCUGAGUCAAAUUGGGCAACUCUGGGCAACUCUGUAGGUACUGGGAGCAGAAAGGGAUGCUAGGACCUGCUCUUCACCUCCCUCAUGUUCCACAUGAAGAAACUGAGGCAGACACCGCUGGGCCUGACCCCAGGCAGGGCUGGGUGAUGAGCCUGAGGUCUUUGACCCAGCUGUCCAGCUCUGGGGCAUCAGAAUUUAGAAAACAGCGUCAUUAAUGGCAAACCCGAAGAACAGGAUGAGGGAUUCCAGCCCUCAUUCUGAAACGGGAUUAUAGAUGUAAUUUGAGAAUCUCAUUGCCUCUUUGCUGGACAAUUUUUAAGGGAAGGGCAGUCCUUGAGUUGGCAUAUGACAUCACUCUGGAAGCUUGAUUUGAUUCUAAUGAUUUGUUUGUAAUUGGUCACCUUUCUGUUAAGAGACAUACUUUCCUAGCCACCAAGAUUUUUGCUCAGUUUCCUCUCUGUAGCCUCCCUUUACAUGAAGCGCAGUGAUAAUAUAGAAAAACUGAGUAAAAUCUAUGCAUUUUUUUAAAAACUUAUUUCUUAACAACACUGAAGUUUCAGCUUUCUUCCUCAUUAAACCUUCUAUCACAGCUGCUAAAACUGAGGCUAAAGAGUAAAGGGGUGAUAGCAGUUCCAGGGGAAAAGUUUCUAGUGCGUUAAAUAGACAUUAUCUUAAAACAAUUCCAAACUUUAAAAUUCCCAAUUCCCGAAUUCUGAAAUGUUUUGUUUGCCAAACCUUAGAAGUAAACCUACAUCAGAUUGUUGACACCACACAGUAUUUGAACACUGAUGCAUAAUUUCCCAACUCAAGUUCAGCUAAAAGAACGCUUUUGUCCAAGAAAAAGCACAUUUUUAUUAAGCAAAUGAUUAAUGUAGCAAAAGAAAAAAUCCUGAAUAUUGGAGAAGACCAUUUAACCAGCUUUAUUUGACUAGUUUUCCCCUCCUCUUCCUCUUUUCCUCUCCAAUGGAAACCGUGUAACUGGCUGGUAAUUCACCCCUGUGGUCAACUCUUAAGGGCUGCUUUUGGGGAGCCAAUUUCCUAAAUUGCAAGGGCAAAUAAGGCCAUUCAAAUGCUAAUGCCUCGAUGCAGCAGGGCAAGACAAAGGGCUAGUUGGGAGACUAGAGAGUGGGGAAUGCUUGGAGAACUUGCCAGAAACGCUUCUAGGAGAGAAAGGCAGCUAAACACCAGUGCCUUAGGUAGAAAGAGGGCUUUUUAAAUUGUGUGUAUAGCAAAAGCCCCUCUCCGUGGGGUGGGGGUCCUCAUCACAGGGCUUUGGUAAGUUCCUCAGGUGUUCCGAUUGUUCCUAAUGACUCUUCCACCCUGGAAUCAGGAUGGAAGGAGGGAGGGGGUGGGGGAAGGGAACUGAGUGGGGGAGGGUAACAGGUUUUCUCAAUCAGGUAGUUCAUGGAGGAGUGUCUGAAAGAGGUGCGUUCCUGGAAGGGGGGACCCUGCCUCCGCCCCCCAGCUAACCUGGCAUAAUGCCUACAAUUAAGAAAGCCGCCCUCUCCCGCGCAGGCUUCUGUUUAAAAAACAGCCCGAGACUGGGGUGACAGGUGUGGGCGUUGCACUGAGGACUUUUUUUUCAACUUGUAUAUGCUAAAGCAACAUGCUAGUUUCUCUAAUGCAAAACCCAGCUCUGCAGGAAAACAGUCCCCCUAGACUCUCCAACCUGGGAGGGCAGCCCCCACACUGAAAAGCCACGGCAUCCUGACCGCAGUCGCCUAUUCACCAGAGACCUUUUACUGGGUGAGCUCAGGCUGCCAAGACAUCACCAGAGAAAAAGCCAGCACUUUCAAUGCUUCGGAUAGGAACACUGCGCCGCCGUUUUUACACUAAGUAGAAAUGUCAGCUUUGGGGAGCCCCAUUUCACUUAGGCAGUUUAACGCUUUCAAGCCAAAGACAGGGCACGCGGGACCCGCCUCCAAGUCCUUGGCAGCCUCCAGACUUCUGGACACUUCCCCCGCUGCCCAGGGUAGCCCCCUCGCCGCUAUUUACUAGUUAAGACCAGAACAGCAUCCAAGAGCCAUUAGUCAGCGCCGCAGCCCACCAGAGCUGUUUUGGUGCGGCGCGAUGCCUUCCCCCGGGCGGAGACCUGGAAGGAAGACCCCUUAAAAUAUGUUCUGAAUAUAGACCGAAACCUUAUUUUAGGAGUCUAAGAACCCGACCCGCCUUUUCAAGUCUCCAAACUACUCACUUUCCCCCCAAAUCCUUCUCAUCAGAAUAGCUCAAACCGGCACCAAACGAGACGCCCGCGCAACAAGAAAAGAUCAGUUUCCAAAUCGGGGGAGGUUUUGUAAAUACAUUUUCACUAACCAGUCUUUCCCCCCAGGAUUGGCGAGAGAGGCACACUUUACGCACCGAAGAUGCGUUACCGGAUUGCGGCUGUUUCUGUGCUCCAGCUUUGCCUUCAGGUUACAGAUUCCAAACUUAGCCCCACCCGAGCCAAAAAUGGCCGGUGCGCGCCGCCUGCCCUCCCCUCCCCGAGGCUGCCGGAGCCUCAGGCCCCUUCCUUCUCUCAACUAAUCGCCCGGGGAUUUGCGGCGGCUCCUACACCUUUCCCCAGCUCGGCGGGUGCUGCGCUCUGUCGGAAUGCGCUCUUUGGCUAUGCGCUCUUUGGGGGUGCGUUGUGGGGUUCCCUGAUGAUAGGCGCGACUCCGUCUCCAGCCUGUUUCUUGUUCCGCUUUACCUUUUCGCUCGCGACCACCUCGCUGACCUUUUAGCUACUAUCUAACAUCCCCAGGCAGCUGCGCAAAAAGCCCGGGACCUCUCCAGCCAAGAUGUACCCAGCGUCACCAUCAGACCAGCUGCGCCAAAAGGUUGGCGAUGCCGCGACACGACCACGUCUGCGCCCCCAACCCUGGUAGUCCGUCGGGCACCUCCCGAAACUCCCGUACCUCCUCUGCCUGCCCUCCAAGCACAGGAGACUCUCCAGGGUAGCUUCCUAUGCCUACCCGCCCCCCCAACCCUGGACACUUCUUGGACCUGCUCUGGACCUGUGGCCCUGUGGUCUCAGGUAGGUGGUGUGACCCAUGUGGAUUUCCUUGUCUUGCAUGGUGGUUGGGUGAGGCAUCACGGGUUCCACCAGCUUUUUUCCUCCCAUCGUGAAGGAGGCCUUGCCAUACAGCUCCCCACCCCACCCCUGCUCUCCAGCAUCAGCAGGGCCUCGCGACUCCGACUCCUUCUUCUGGCCAAGUAGAAGGGCUAAGGCCCGCAGGAGUUAACUUCACACAGGUGAUCUGUCUGAGAUCAUGUUGGAGGCCUGGGAGAGCGCCACUCGGCCCAUUUCAUUACAGCCUGCUCGCAUUCACCUGAGAAGGGGCCCGUUCUCAAAAUCAUGGCUACUUCUCUAAGUCAGCAGACAACAGCCUGAAGAUCACCCGAAAAUGUCCCCUGCACUGAGGGCUGUUUUAGCUAAUGGAAGGACACCAAGUUGAAGAUCCAUCCGGGUGUGACCUUGGGGGUUGUGGGCAUGUUGUGUGUGAGGGAGGUUUAUCCUGUUAACCCUUUGCCCCCUUUUCUCUCUCUCCCCUAAGGCUUUCUUCUUUCAGUGUCCUUGAAGCCAUCAGCAGUUGUGUCCCCCCCAAAGCCCUAACACUGUUCUGUGUGGUACCACUGAGCCUCCUUAAUGUCCCUCCUUGCUGCAAAAUCUUAGUGCUUCAGCCUCUUCUUGGUGGGCAUCUCACCUUGCCCUUGAAGGAGAGCUUUGCUGGGAGGUAAGGUGUGGUCUUCACCCUCCAAUAGAACCCACCUAUCCUUAAGGGUCUCCGUGUUGCAGGGUCUGCAGAUAUCAGUUAGACUGGGGUCUUAUCUGGCCCAGCGAUGGGCCUUUUAGAAAUACCUCAUCACAGCUGACCUUAGGUUCACGACUGGGCUUCUCAGAGAGGCCUGAUUAAUUCAUGGUGCCCCGCUCCCCGCCACCCAUAGCCACCCGAGACAAGAGGAUUUACUGUACCAGUUUAUUGCCAAGCUGUAUCGGUUGAUAAGCAGGAAACUCCAGACCAUCUGUUUAAAAAUAAAAAAUGAACAGCAGCACAGCCCUAGAGCUAACACUUUGUACUGCUGCAUAGUAAACGAGCCCACUGGAUGCAGUGACCUCGGCUGAGGUGGCGACAGGCUUGUCCUCCAUCCCUCUCAUCCGGGGCGCCAGAUUUGUGGAAGGCAGAGCACCACCACUCCCCCACCCCAACAGCCAGCAUCACUCUCCUCCUAGCUGCUCCCAGGCCCCUCGUCCACGUCUGGCUGCAUUCGAGGGUUUCUAACUCUUCUUUAGACCCCAAAGACUGUUCCCAGCAGGAUGUCCAUCCCAUCAGCUGAGAGUCCUCGUGGUCAGCCUCAUGGACCUGUUGUGGAGGCCAACCCGCAGGACAGGACACGGGAGCACGGGCUGAAGAGGCCUUCCUGUGGCCGCUAAGGACAAGCCUUUUGCUUGGCGCCUGGAUCAAGGCAGUGACAGAACCUUCCCAGAGAAGCCUUUGGAAGUGAAAUGUUGAGGCCACGGCAGAGCAACGGUCAAGUUCUUCUGUUUCCCAUGGUGCCCUGAGCCUGCUGCCAAGCCCACGUUCAAAGGCUGUUUCUUCAAAGUUAAUGGUGCCGCCUUUGAGCUGGGAGGGGAAGCGGGCAGUUGGGAGGCCCGUUUCAAUGUGCAUGUUUGAAGGGGAGGCAGGGGUUCUUUGGUUUAUGGUCGUGUGAGAACUUGGGGUGGGGAGAGGGGUCCAUGUCCACCUGGGUGCUACCUGGGCCCCAGGUGGGCGGGGCUGGGAGGGGGCGUCAGGCAUCGCCUUGUGGAAAGUGACCAUGAAGGACCCUUCCGGAGGGCCCCCCCCAAUCCUGUUGUGUUUGGUUCAGAGGGUUGGGCGGAGGCUUUCCUGAAGGGUCUGAGAGAGCAGCACCCACAGGCUGUGUACUCAGGAGCUAGGACGUGGGGGUUGGAUGAGGAGAAGGCCAGCCCGGCCUGGCUGUGUGUCUGCCUGCCUCCCUGAUGGAGGCCUGACCCGGUCAGCCGCCCUGUGGUGGCCAGUGAGCAUCGAGAUGAAAACCCAGGAGCACAGGCCCCCGACCCCAGCCUCAGCCUUGAGCACCUGGGGCUCCCCGUCGGCCCUCACACUCUUUAGCCCACAGCUGUCGGCCAGUCUGCACCUGCCUGUGUGCCCCCUUUUGGGGUCUUUCUCCCUCACCCCAGCUGCACACCUGGCCUGGCUAGCCCUCCCCACCCUUGGGAAGCCUCUCUGACCGUCCAGCCCUCCUUGGACAUCACAGCCCUUUCGUCUGGUCUCUCUGCCGAAGCCUGUUUGCUGCCCAUGGCUUCUAGUUCUUCUGGAUGAGCACCCAGGGGAUGGCCAGAGCUGCCGUGGCGACUGCAUGAUCCUCCAGCUUCUUUCUCCACACGUGGCACUCAGUAGGUGCCUAAUAAACCUGUUUAGAACGAGUA